GGUGGGGGCUGGGUAAAAGGAGGGAGGGGAGAACUCCGCGCGCCCCAAGAGCGAAAGCAAACAGCUAGCUGUGGAGGCGCUGCCCGCAGCUCAAGCUUCCCAACAGGUUAGCUAGGCUGGGAUCCACCUGGUAUUUCGAAGGAAGGGGGGGUCAGAGGAGGAGAGAAUCUUACUAGGAGACGGAGGGAGGGAGGGAAAGAG
rnacentral:lncRNA from 1 species